GCGCCCGUAGCUCAGCUGGAUAGAGCGCCGGACUUCGAAUCCGUAGGUCGGGGGUUCGAAUCCCUCCGGGCGCGCCA
rnacentral:tRNA from 1 species